GCCGAUGGCGACCGGCGCACGGGUGAGUAACACGUAUCCAACCUGCCGUCUACUCUUGGACAGCCUUCUGAAAGGAAGAUUAAUACAAGAUGGCAUCAUGAGUCCGCAUGUUCACAUGAUUAAAGGUAUUCUGGUAGACGAUGGGGAUGCGUUCCAUUAGAUAGUAGGCGGGGUAACGGCCCACCUAGUCUUCGAUGGAUAGGGGUUCUGAGAGGAAGGUCCCCCACAUUGGAACUGAGACACGGUCCAAACUCCUACGGGAGGCAGCAGUGAGGAAUAUUGGUCAAUGGGCGCAGGCCUGAACCAGCCAAGUAGCGUGAAGGAUGACUGCCCUAUGGGUUGUAAACUUCUUUUAUAAAGGAAUAAAGUCGGGUAUGCAUACCCGUUUGCAUGUACUUUAUGAAUAAGGAUCGGCUAACUCCGUGCCAGCAGCCGCGGUAAUACGGAGGAUCCGAGCGUUAUCCGGAUUUAUUGGGUUUAAAGGGAGCGUAGAUGGAUGUUUAAGUCAGUUGUGAAAGUUUGCGGCUCAACCGUAAAAUUGCAGUUGAUACUGGAUAUCUUGAGUGCAGUUGAGGCAGGCGGAAUUCGUGGUGUAGCGGUGAAAUGCUUAGAUAUCACGAAGAACUCCGAUUGCGAAGGCAGCCUGCUAAGCUGCAACUGACAUUGAGG
rnacentral:rRNA from 1 species